rnacentral:rRNA from 1 species
AAUGAUUGAACGUCUGUCGAGCUUGCUCACAGGCACAUCAUAUCCAUAACACCUGUGCACUUGUCGGAUGGCUUAGUGAAGACCGCAAGGUUGGAUCUAUCCAUCUACUUUACAUAACAAUUCUGUAACAAAUGUAGUCUUAUUAUAACAUAAUAAAACUUUCAACAACGGAUCUCUUGGCUCUCGCAUCGAUGAAGAACGCAGCGAAAUGCGAUAAGUAAUGUGAAUUGCAGAAUUCAGUGAAUCAUCGAAUCUUUGAACGCACCUUGCGCUCCUUGGUAUUCCGAGGAGCAUGCCUGUUUGAGUGUCAUGAAAACCCUCAACCCUAGAUUGGUUAAAACCUUUCUUUGGUUUGGAUUUGGACGUUUGCCGAUGAUAAGUCGGCUCGUCUUAAAAGUAAUAGCUGGAUCUGUCUCGCGACAUGGUUUGACUUGGCGUAAUAAGUAUUUCGCUAAGGACAUCUUCGGAUGGCCGCGUUGCAGGACUAAAGACCGCUUUCUAAUCCAUUGAUCUUACGAUUAAUAUUCUUGACAUCUGGCCUCAAAUCAGGUAGGACUACCCGCUGAACUUAAGCAUAUC